ensembl:ncRNA C14F11.21 ncRNA
ACACUUUUGAUUAGAAAACUUCUUGAUUAGAGUUUUUGAGGAAGGUUAGAAGCGACCAGAUAUCUACUUUACAGAAUAGAUGUGGUUUCGUUUCAAGGGCAGGAUGGGAUUGAUUGGGGGAAAGUGUAUGUGUAUGUGAAGGGUGAAG